rnacentral:tRNA from 1 species
GCCAUCGUGGCUGAAGGUGAGAGCCGAGCAUCUGACUACGGAUCAGAAGGUUAGGGGUUCGAGUCCCUUCGGGCGCGC